GAACCUUACCUGGUCUUGACAUCCACAGAACCUUGUAGAGAUACGAGGGUGCCUUCGGGAACUGUGAGACAGGUGCUGCAUGGCUGUCGUCAGCUCGUGUUGUGAAAUGUUGGGUUAAGUCCCGCAACGAGCGCAACCCUUAUCCUUUGUUGCCAGCGGUCCGGCCGGGAACUCAAAGGAGACUGCCAGUGAUAAACUGGAGGAAGGUGGGGAUGACGUCAAGUCAUCAUGGCCCUUACGACCAGGGCUACACACGUGCUACAAUGGCGCAUACAAAGAGAAGCGACCUCGCGAGAGCAAGCGGACCUCAUAAAGUGCGUCGUAGUCCGGAUUGGAGUCUGCAACUCGACUCCAUGAAGUCGGAAUCGCUAGUAAUCGUGGAUCAGAAUGCCACGGUGAAUACGUUCCCGGGCCUUGUACACACCGCCCGUCACACCAUGGGAGUGGGUUGCAAAAGAAGUAGGUAGCUUAACCUUCGGGAGGGCGCUUACCACUUUGUGAUUCAUGACUGGGGUGAAGUCGUAACAAGGUAACCGUAGGGGAACCUGCGGUUGGAUCAC
rnacentral:rRNA from 1 species